AUUAAUAUUGUGUCUUCUUCAUCUCUUCAGCUUUCUCUCUGUCUUCUUCUUAAUAUUGUUGCAGACGACCAUCCUUUCAAUUCCUAUUUGUCCUUGGAUGUUCUGACUUGGCAUAUUACUAAUAAUCGCCUUUUCUCCGUUAAGACAGCACAGCUUAUUGGGCGACAAUCUCAGCAGGAGAGUCGAUAAAUUCUUGAACCGCAACACCAUCUGGC
rnacentral:lncRNA from 1 species